rnacentral:rRNA from 1 species
GACGAACGCUGGCGGCGUGCUUAACACAUGCAAGUCGAACGGAAAGGCCCUGCUUUUGUGGGGUGCUCGAGUGGCGAACGGGUGAGUAACACGUGAGUAACCUGCCCUUGACUUUGGGAUAACUUCAGGAAACUGGGGCUAAUACCGGAUAGGAGCUCCUGCUGCAUGGUGGGGGUUGGAAAGUUUCGGCGGUUGGGGAUGGACUCGCGGCUUAUCCGCUUGUUGGUGGGGUAGUGGCUUACCAAGGCUUUGACGGGUAGCCGGCCUGAGAGGGUGACCGGCCACAAUGGGACUGAGAGACGGACCAGACUCCUACGGGAGGCAGCAGUGGGGAAUAUUGCACAAUGGGCGGAAGUCUGAUGCAGCAACGCCGCGUGCGGGAUGACGGCCUUCGGGUUGUAAACCGCUUUCUCCUUUGACGAAGCGGGAGUGACGGUAAUGGGUAAAGAAGCACCGGCUAACUACGUG